rnacentral:lncRNA from 1 species
GAAAAUAAGAAUCUUCAUUCUGUACACUCAUAAUAAUCUAUAAUCUUCACAGUUAUUGUAGAUUUUUUAACCAACAUGUUAAAUAGAAUUGCAUUCAUUUGGUUUUUCUUGAUUCCCUUAUUUCCUUAAGCAUUACAGGGCUUAAAUCCACUUUUAAUCAAAGACAGGCAAUUUGAGCCCUUAAAUGCAUAAGAGGAAGAUUUAACGACAUUUUUUAAUUUAUGAAUUUUCAAGGGUUUGUAUGGAAAACCAUAUAGGUGAGACUGGGUGGCAAAAGUUGUUUUUUUUGAACAAAUGCUUCUAACUUUCAGCAGCUGUUGCAAUCGCUACUCUUGAGAUAGACGGCUGAAAAUUCUCAGGUUACUGGUACCUAGUUUUAAUAUGCUCUUUCAGCUUGUGCUAACACAAUUUUUCAAAAGUGAACUGUUUUUGCAUUAACCAAAAGUUGAUCAUGUGAUCAAGUCAGGCAAAGAGCCUAUUGGUCUGGAGAACUCGUGCUCCCCUUCCAGCCUAUGAGAUGUAGAACUAAAACAAAUCACCUCUUGGAAUUUCCUUCUUUCUCAUCUUUCGAGCAGUUUUCUAAUUUUUACUUUGGACUCUUGAUUCCUUCUACUAAUCAUUUCCCUUCUCUUAUUUCUACAUGUGUAUAUGUACCACAGUAUAACUUUAAUUUCUGACAGAGUGCAGGACAUUUGUGGAAACUUUGACCAAUCUGAAGAAUUUGAAUUAAAAAAGUUUGUGAUUUCAGGAGGUGAGAUAAUCUCCUGGUGUGGCACAAGUUGAGAGGAAUAUAUGCACUGUGCAAAUUUAUAGGACAACAACAGGUAUUCAUACUAUUGGAAAAUGCACCAGUGCAGAGUGAGUGCAGGGCUGAACAGUUUUAUCCAGACUGGCCUGUGUCAACCUAUUUGGUCAUACAAGAGUCAUCUUUCAUUAUGGUUUCUUAUAGCAUUGCGUGCGAGAGACAGCACACUUUGUGUCAUAAAUAGUGUUAUACUAUGGUUGAAUUUCAAAUAUUUCAAACAAUGAUUCAGAAAUAACCUUUAGUUCAAGCGAGGUCUAGGUAAUUUGGUCAAAUUAAACAUUGCGUGAGUUGAGCCAUACAGGUCACUUCAUAAAUAGCAUUAUGUUGUGGUUUAGGUUCAAAAUAAGAAUGAUUCAGAAAUAACUUUUGGUCCAGACAGCUGUUUGGUACUGCAGACUUUGGUAAAUUUACACUCUCCUGACUUGAUCACCAUAAGUGCCAGUAUGUCAAAAGUUAUUGUGGUUGAAAAACGUUUCUUUCAUCGAGAUUUAAUUCCUUUUUCUGAACGCCUAUCCAUUUUUUUUACUUUUUACAUUUCCACCGACAAAGGGCUAAUACUCGCUUUUAUAACCGCAACGGUGGCCAAUUUACCAUUUCAACUUAGUUGAUAUAUUCAAUUUUUACUGAGUCAGACAUGGUGAGUGAGAACCCAAUCAUAUACUAUGCCUGAAUAUUUACAAAGAUGUUCCAAAAAUAUUCCCAUCCUUGUGAAAGUAAAAACAACCAUAUCUAUCCCUCCACAACUGAAGAUUUUAGACAAUACACAGGCAUUCUCUUUAAAUUUUUUUUGCACUCUCAUCAUUCACUUAGAUUCAAAGCUACCUUUUCUUCGAAAAAUUUACCCAAGAUGGCAAAUUUAAAUGCCAGGUGUAAGAAAUCACUCAUCAGGCAUCAACUGGU